rnacentral:sRNA from 1 species
GGUUAGUGCGUUAGCGAUAGUAGCGACAUCCUUUUUUGUGCGCGCUUAUGCGCAAAAAAGAUAUAGUGGAUAGCGCGACCUUUA